rnacentral:lncRNA from 1 species
CUUGCCGAGGACUUUGUCCACCAAGUGAUGAAAGCAUGCAAAUGCCUCCGAAUCAAAGAUGAGGAAAACAAAAGCUCAGAAACUAUCUUGGAGUCAGCAAGUAAGAAGGAGCUUAGAAAGGCUUAACAUUUUCCAUGCUUCUGCCUGGCUUCAGAGCCCAUGCACUCUGCCUUACCACGGCAGGUGAAAGAUGGCCCCAAAUUCUUAGGUACAUCUCCUGCCAAAAGACCCCUCCUAUGGGUUCUGUGACUACUUCAAUGAAAAGAAUAGGGCAGAAGAGAUGAUGAGAACUUAACAUCUGGCAGUGUCCAUUUCCUGUCUUUUGAAACUUUCUGUUAAAGGCCUGAGCCACGUAUGAAGUGUGAAUCUUCACACCAUGCAAGAGAAGCCACAUGUUAUUGCUCUGGUCAACAAUCCCAGCUGACCCAACCAGAUAGUGUAUCAGGCAUAUGAGUAAAGCAUUCUUAGAUUCUUCAGUCCAGCCCUUCACCAGCAGAACACCAUUCAGCAACCCUUGUCGGCAUCAUGUGGGACAGAAGAACCACCCAGCUGAGCCUUAUCCAAAUUCCUGACCACAAAAUCAUAAGAGAGAAUGACUUCUUUCAUAUCGCUGAAUGGAGCAACAUGUUUGGCCAAGUUCCUGUCCCAGGGAGGAGAACCUUCAGCUUGCAACAAGUCCUGGCCGUUGGAGAAACCAUGAGACUAGACCUUGUGUAAAGCAGCUGAUUCUGCCAUGGGGGAAAUGCCCUUUUGUUUACUGAGCUUCUCCCACCCAUGCCUUGCUCCACUUUCCUCUAGAAGCCUGAGAUAUUGGGAAUAAGAGUCUCAGCCUCCAAGAGAUGGAGAACAUAUCAAGAGAGUCUGGAUUUCUGGGGUGAUUAAGUUCACUUGAUUCAUUAGCCUAAGUGCUCAAGUAAAUUUCAAAUCACAGUGUUAUGUGUGAUUGUCCACGUCCUUCCUCCAAACACUCCCCACCUCCCACCCAAGGGCCCAUGUAACUUGCUAUUGAGAACCUUUGAUUUCUUAGGUAUUUGGGUGAUAGGGUUUUGUUGCCUCUCCUGAAGAAAAUAGUGGCAAUUUGUACUCAGCUGUGGAAUAAAGGAAAUCAUGAC